GAUUAAGUUAUUAAGGGCGCACGGUGGAUGCCUUGGCACUAGAAGCCGAUGAAGGACGUUACUAACGACGAUAUGCUUUGGGGAGCUGUAAGUAAGCUUUGAUCCAGAGAUUUCCGAAUGGGGAAACCCAGCAUGAGUUAUGUCAUGUUAUCGAUAUGUGAAUACAUAGCAUAUCAGAAGGCACACCCGGAGAACUGAAACAUCUUAGUACCCGGAGGAAGAGAAAGAAAAUUCGAUUCCCUUAGUAGCGGCGAGCGAAACGGGAAGAGCCCAAACCAACAAGCUUGCUUGUUGGGGUUGUAGGACACUCUAUACGGAGUUACAAAGGACGACAUUAGACGAAUCAUCUGGAAAGAUGAAUCAAAGAAGGUAAUAAUCCUGUAGUCGAAAAUGUUGUCUCUCUUGAGUGGAUCCUGAGUACGACGGAGCACGUGAAAUUCCGUCGGAAUCUGGGAGGACCAUCUCCUAAGGCUAAAUACUCUCUAGUGACCGAUAGUGAACCAGUACCGUGAGGGAAAGGUGAAAAGCACCCCGGAAGGGGAGUGAAAUAGAACCUGAAACUGUGUGCUUACAAGUAGUCAGAGCCCGUUAAUGGGUGAUGGCGUGCCUUUUGUAGAAUGAACCGGCGAGUUACGAUUUGAUGCAAGGUUAAGCAGUAAAUGUGGAGCCGUAGCGAAAGCGAGUCUGAAUAGGGCGUUUAGUAUUUGGUCGUAGACCCGAAACCAGGUGAUCUACCCUUGGUCAGGUUGAAGUUCAGGUAACACUGAAUGGAGGACCGAACCGACUUACGUUGAAAAGUGAGCGGAUGAACUGAGGGUAGCGGAGAAAUUCCAAUCGAACCUGGAGAUAGCUGGUUCUCUCCGAAAUAGCUUUAGGGCUAGCCUCAAGUGAUGAUUAUUGGAGGUAGAGCACUGUUUGGACGAGGGGCCCCUCUCGGGUUACCGAAUUCAGACAAACUCCGAAUGCCAAUUAAUUUAACUUGGGAGUCAGAACAUGGGUGAUAAGGUCCGUGUUCGAAAGGGAAACAGCCCAGACCACCAGCUAAGGUCCCAAAAUAUAUGUUAAGUGGAAAAGGAUGUGGCGUUGCCCAGACAACUAGGAUGUUGGCUUAGAAGCAGC
rnacentral:rRNA from 1 species